rnacentral:rRNA from 1 species
CAGACUUGACAUGCAGAGGACGGCACUAUAAAAGGUGCUUCCCGCAAGGGUCUGUGCAC